rnacentral:misc_RNA from 1 species
GAUGAAGAACGUAGCGAAAUGCGAUAAGUAGUGUGAAUUGCAGAAUUCAGUGAAUCAUCGAAUCUUUGAACGCACAUUGCGCCCCUUGGUAUUCCAUGGGGCAUGCCUGUUCGAGCGUCAUUUGUACCUUCAAGCUUUGCUUGGUGUUGGGUGUUUGUCCAUUCUCUUGCAGAGGGACUCGCCUUAAAGUAAUUGGCAGCCAGUGUUUUGGUUUUGAAGCGCAGCACAAGUCGCGAUUCAAAGCUAUACGCCCGCUUCCACAAGCCUUUUUCACUUUUGACCUCGGAUCAGGUAGGGAUACCCGCUGAACUUAAGCAUAUCAAUAAGCGGAGA